rnacentral:rRNA from 1 species
GAGUUUGAUCCUGGCUCAGGAUGAACGCUGGCGGCAUGCCUAAUACAUGCAAGUCGAACGAGAGGAAGGAAAGCUUGCUUUCCUGAAUCUAGUGGCGAACGGGUGAGUAACACGUAGGUAACCUGCCCAUGUGCCCGGGAUAACUUCUGGAAACGGAUGCUAAAACCGGAUAGGUAGCAGACAAGCAUUUGACUGCUAUUAAAGUGGCCUUGGCCAUGAACAUGGAUGGACCUGCGGUGCAUUAGCUGGUUGGUGAGGUAACGGCCCACCAAGGCGACGAUGCAUAGCCGGCCUGAGAGGGCGGACGGCCACAUUGGGACUGAGACACGGCCCAAACUCCUACGGGAGGCAGCAGUAGGGAAUUUUCGUCAAUGGGGGGAACCCUGAACGAGCAAUGCCGCGUGAGUGAGGAAGGUCUUCGGAUCGUAAAGCUCUGUUGUAAGAGAAAAACGGCACUCAUAGGGAAUGAUGAGUGAGUGAUGGUAUCUUACCAGAAAGUCACGGCUAACUACGUGCCAGCAGCCGCGGUAAUACGUAGGUGGCGAGCGUUAUCCGGAAUGAUUGGGCGUAAAGGGUGCGUAGGUGGCAGAUCAAGUCUGGAGUAAAAGGUAUGGGCUCAACCCGUACUGGCUCUGGAAACUGAUCAGCUAGAGAACAGAAGAGGACGGCGGAACUCCAUGUGUAGCGGUAAAAUGCGUAGAUAUAUGGAAGAACACCGGUGGCGAAGGCGGCCGUCUGGUCUGGAUUCUGACACUGAAGCACGAAAGCGUGGGGAGCAAAUAGGAUUAGAUACCCUAGUAGUCCACGCCGUAAACGAUGAGAACUAGGUGUUGGGGGAAUAACUCAGUGCCGCAGUUAACGCAGUAAGUUCUCCGCCUGGGGAGUAUGCACGCAAGUGUGAAACUCAAAGGAAUUGACGGGGGCCCGCACAAGCGGUGG